rnacentral:miRNA from 1 species
UCACCGGGUUAAAACUUGCAGA